rnacentral:lncRNA from 1 species
CAGGUCCCUGCGGCGACCGCGACUUCCCCGACUCCAGCUUCUCCGGCGCAAACGGAUUUUUGCACCAACAGGAUUGGCGCUAGAGGAAGGGGCUGAACCUUCGCAGUACCCUUGUUCUUAAAGGAGCGUUCAACGGAGCCACCUCCGAUCAUCUCCUCCGACACCCACUUCUUAUUUUCCCCCGCUGGGUCCACACUCGAUGCCUCCACGCAAGGCGUCCACACGACGGUCCACGGCCUCCACGGCCA